AUUGAACGCUGGCGGAAUGCUUUACACAUGCAAGUCGAACGGCAGCACGGACUUCGGUCUGGUGGCGAGUGGCGAACGGGUGAGUAAUGUAUCGGAACGUGCCCAGUCGUGGGGGAUAACGUAGAGAAAAUUACGCUAAUACCGCAUACGAUCUAUGGAUGAAAGCGGGGGAUCGCAAGACCUCGCGGGAUUGGAGCGGCCGAUAUCAGAUUAGGUAGUUGGUGGGGUAAAGGCCCACCAAGCCAACGAUCUGUAGCAGGUCUGAGAGGACGAAGAGGCACACUGGAACGGAGGCACGGACCAGACUCCGACGGGAGGCAGCAGUGGGGAAUUUUGGACAAUGGGCGAAAGCCUGAUCCAGCCAUUCCGCGUGGAGGAUGAAGGCCCUCGGGUUGUAAACUGCUUUUGUACAGAACGAAAAGGUUUCUACUAAUACUAGGAGCUCAUGACGGUACCGUAAGAAUAAGCACCGGCUAACUACGUGCCAGCCGCCGCAGUAA
rnacentral:rRNA from 1 species